UCAAACUUGGUCAUUUAGAGGAAGUAAAAGUCGUAACAAGGUUUCCGUAGGUGAACCUGCGGAAGGAUCAUUACAGUGCUCGUCGGUACGUCGCGUCUCCGGGCGUCGGCGCACCGCACCUGCCCCACCCGUGUCUACCUUUCUUCUGUUGCUUCGGCGGGCCCGCCCCCGAGCGUACCCACGCGCUGGGUGCGUCCGGCGGCGGACCGGGGGUUUUUCACCCCUGGCCAGCGCCCGUCAGAGGACCCCUUGAACCCUUUGUGAAUGUACGGCAGUCUGAGUUUGAUCUUGAAAUAUAGUCAAAACUUUCAACAACGGAUCUCUUGGUUCUGGCAUCGAUGAAGAACGCAGC
rnacentral:misc_RNA from 1 species